AUUGAACGCUGGCGGCAGGCUUAACACGUGCAAGUCGAGCGCCCCGCAAGGGGAGCGGCAGACGGGUGAGUAACGCGUGGGAACGUGCCCUUUGGUUCGGAACAACUCCGGGAAACUGGAGCUAAUACCGGAUAAGCCCUUCGGGGGAAAGAUUUAUCGCCAAAGGAUCGGCCCGCGUCUGAUUAGCUAGUUGGUGAGGUAAUGGCUCACCAAGGCGACGAUCAGUAGCUGGUCUGAGAGGAUGAUCAGCCACACUGGGACUGAGACACGGCCCAGACUCCUACGGGAGGCAGCAGUGGGGAAUAUUGGACAAUGGGCGCAAGCCUGAUCCAGCCAUGCCGCGUGAGUGAUGAAGGCCUUAGGGUUGUAAAGCUCUUUUGUCCGGGAAGAUAAUGACUGUACCGGAAGAAUAAGCCCCGGCUAACUUCGUGCCAGCAGCCGCCGUAAAAC
rnacentral:rRNA from 1 species